rnacentral:rRNA from 1 species
AAUGAUGAAUGUCAUAGAUUAGACAUCUAAUAGUUUAUUCUAUAAAUGAAAAUGUAAGCAUUCCACCUCAAGAGUAAUUUGGCAACAUUGGAACUGAAAUCAUUAGACCGUUUCUGAAACCAGUAGUGAAGUAUGUUGUUUAAUUUGAUAAUCCGCAAAAAACCUUACCACAAUUUGAAUAUUUAUAUUCUUUUUCUGAUCUAUUACAUGAAAGGAUAAAAAUAUAUCUACAAGCGUUGCACGGCUGUCUUCAGUUAAUGUCGUGAGAUUUUGGUUAGUUCCAUUAAAUUAACGUAAACCCUCACUUUAUUUUUAUAUAAAGUAGUUCCCCACUAGAUUGGAUAAGAUAACAGGGACUAAGACAAGUCAUCAUGGCCUAAAUAUUGU